GAGUAGUUGGAGUAUCUGUCCGGAGAUGGUUUUCGCCUUGAUGAGGAAGGAUAGUUGCUACUGUGAGGAUGGUUACUAGGAGGUCUUGAGGCAUUAUAGUUCGUAGAGGCUCCAUUCCCAUAACUCGAUGUAGGAUUAUGAGUAGGUUGUGCAUGCGUCAUACCAGCACUCGAUGUAAUAUUAGGGGAAUUCGCUGGACUUUCACUUUCACGUCUAGAAGAUGAAGGAUUGUUAUUUACAUACGCAUUAGGUGUAGCUGCACCUGAAUGAACACCACCACCAGAUGUAUGUGUAGUAUUAUAGUUUGAAGAUGCAUGGACUGGAAAAUUGCGCGAGUACCCCAUAUCCUCUUGUGGGCCUCCAAUAGGCGGAGGAAUAGGCAUAAAUGGAGGAAAUCCAGAAGCCAUCAUAGCUUGAAACUCGGCAGGUGAUGGUACGUUGCCAGAAGGUAAAGGACCCGGGAUCUGAGCAAGACUUGCCAUAAAUUUUUGGGGGCUAAAGUCGUCACGCAAAGUCGUUUGUUUGGCACAGUAAGCAGCCCAUGUAAAUUCAUCAAAUCCAUAGUUAAAAUAAUCUGAGAUAUCUGCACCAGGCUUGCGCCAUGGUUUAUCAUCAAAAGACUCCAAAUCAAUCUCAAAAAUGUUUUUACCAUCAAUUGUAGGAACAGCGUCAAUGUCAACUUUAGGUGCAGUUUCUGCUGUCGAUAAAUCUUGGGGUUCUGUAGUUUUUACUUCGACAGCAGUUUUCUCUACUUGAGGUUUAGCAGAAGGUCGGGUUGAACCUAAUGUUGCAAUCGAUCCACUAACAUUAUUAGUAUAAUCUGAAAUCAAUUAUUUUGGUUUACAUACCCUAAUGGUUCUGCUCUUUCACCUGGCUUUGUUUCAAUGAUAAAUUCAAUAUCCUACAAAAUUAGCAGUUAGCAGUAUCAUUUUAAUUGAAAUCUUACUGAAUCAUCGCUUUCUUCACUUGCUUGCUCUGGUGACUUGGCAUUUGACACUGUAACUCCAUCAUUCCGUUCCUCUAUGGUUUCUCCAUAUAAAUAUUCAUCCUCAUCAACAUCCAUGUGCUGAUCAGCAUUUGACAUAGUAAAAACCCACUUCUAAAAUGUAUAUGGGGCAAGUCCAUUCAUUGACUGAGUCUCGCACCUGAAAUUAUGGAUUCCUUCUUCUUUACCACUUAGGGCCAUUAGUCCACUAAACAUUGUACCGAGUUGUACGGUAUAUACUAGUGGACUUCAUAGCGUACUUCAUUUACCUGGGUAAAAAUA